GACCGCGGGUGUCGGGACCGUGGGCUCCACUGAGGAGCCCACCGAAUCCUUCGGCCUGGCCAGGCGGGGGGUCUUCUUCCCAGUCCGCGGAAGCCAGGUCCGGGAGACGGCGGGGCUCACUGUGCCUUCGGACCUACACUCUGCUCGGGGGCCGGAUUUCUGCAAAGCGUCCACUUGGAAAGAAGUUUCACUUGCAGGGAAGGCGGGUGUACGCAAUGAUGGUCCGUGUGUCCGGGAUGUGAAUGCCAACCAAGACUGCGUCCGUUGGUGGAGUGUGCGCGGGUCCUCCGUGAGGGUGCUUCUGGCAGUCACAGUUCACGAGUUAGCGAGAAGAUGGCUGGGAGGCGGCGAGCCCCCGCUCCCGGGGCGCGCAUUUCGAACUCCAUAGGUCUCCCGUGGAGAGCAGCCCAGACCCGGCCACACUCAGUGAGGAGGAAGUGCGCCUCCUGCUGGCUGCACUGGUGCAGGACUAUGUGCAGAUGAAGGCCAGUGAGCUGGAGCAGGAGCAGGAGACAGAGCUCCAGUUUCAGUUCUUGCCGGAGAGUUUCCAGAUUUCUCCUCCUGAUGGCCUGUUCUGUGGAUUUUGGAUUUGCCAAGGCAGCCCUCACAAUCCGUGAAAACAUGAAAACAGAAUUUCAACUGAUUCAGCACAAAAGAUUACAAUAACCUAAUAUGAUCAUUGGAAAAGAAUGAAUCAGAAUCUUGGCUUCUAUUGAAGAACAGACAUUACCUUGUAGGUAUCCCCCGCCACAAAAAAGCCAGAAAAAAUCUGAUGACAAUAGAGAAUGACGUAAAAAAUUUUUUAAUGCUAAAGAUUGAACUGUAAAAAACUCUCCUGAAUUGUGCCCUAAACCUAUGUGUUCCAAAAAAAGUUUGAAGGCUUAUUCCAUCUGCAUCAUCUGGGUACUUGUAAAGACAUAUACAUAUCCCCAGGCUCCAUCCUAUGCCAACCAAAUCACCAGGGGUCAGGUCUGAGUAUUAAAUAUUUACCAGGAGAUUCUGACGCACAACGACUUUUGGGAAGUAGCACUCAACUGUCAGUGCUUAUGUCAUAUCCUUUCUUUCCUUCAUCUCAUUGGUCAAGGUCAGGUUUCUGCAGGAAGCUCUCUGUGUUUUUUUUUUUUUACCUGCUGGCAAAUUUCUGCGGUUCCUUUUGUUUACUAACUCCCUUAUCUUAAUAUGGCAUUUAAUCAGAGUAUGUUAGUUUAUGAAACCAUGAAAUUGGGUUUGGAAAAUAGUGGAGAAAAGUAAAACAAUAUUUAAUUUCUUCCCAUAUUGGAUCUUUAGAUCCUGCUUUGCUACAUUAGUUCAGGCAUUCUCUCACAUAGAACAACAGGCAUAUUAAUAUUCAAAUGCAAAUCUGAAUGUAACCCACAUCACUGGCAAGAAAGAUCCUAGCAUGUAGUUUCCUGGGAAGAUAUCAUAGCUCACUUGGAUUAAACAACAGCUAAGGAUUUUCCAACUGAUAAGCUUGAUAUAAUAAAGUUCCUGACCUAAUGCUUUAGGUUUAAUUAACAGUACCACUUUAGGCUUAGAACAAAGGUCUAAUCCUCAGGAUCCAAAGUUCAAAUCCCAGUUGUACUAUUAAAUGGGAUUUUAGGAAAUUUGCUUCACUUUUUCACAUCUAGAUUUUCUGAUUAGUAAAAUGAAGAUACAGUAUGUCAUACUGAAACAAUAACAAUAGCUAAUAGUCAUUAGACGCUAUGCUAAAUGGAAGGCAAGUGGGAAAACAAAAUGAAUUGUUUCUCAUCCAUUGAAGAAAUAUUGGCAAGGUGUGGUGCCUCAUGCCUGUAAUCCCAGUGC
rnacentral:lncRNA from 1 species